GUGAGGAAUUUUCCGCAAUGGGCGAAAGCCUGACGGAGCAAUGCCGCGUGAAGGAUGAAGGCCUAUGGGUUGUAAACUUCUUUUCUCAGAAAAGAAUUAUGACGGUAUCUGAGGAAUAAGCAUCGGCUAACUCUGUGCCAGCAGCCGCGGUAAGACAGAGGAUGCAAGCGUUAUCCGGAAUGAUUGGGCGUAAAGCGUCUGUAGGUUGUUUAAAAAGUAUUCUGUCAAAGAUUAGGGCUUAACCCUAGAUAGGCAGAAUAAACUUUUAAGCUAGAGUUUGGUAGAGGCAGAGGGAAUUCCCGGUGGUGCGGUGAAAUGCGUAGAUAUCGGGAGGAACACCAAAGGCGAAGGCACUCUGCUGGGCCAAUACUAACACUGAGAGACGAAAGCGAGGGGAGCAAAUGGGAUUAGAAACCCCGGUAGUCC
rnacentral:rRNA from 1 species